GAUGAACGCUAGCGGCAGGCCUAACACAUGCAAGUCGAGGGAGAAGCCUUUCGGUUCAGAAACCGGCGCACGGGUGCGUAACGCGUAUGCAACCUACCUUUCACAGGUGGAUAGCCCGAUGAAAUUUGGAUUAAUACCCCAUAAUAUUGUUGGAUUGCAUCCUCUGUUAAUUAAAACUGCGGUUGUGAACGAUGGGCAUGCGUCCUAUUAGCUAGUUGGAGUGUUAACGGCACCUCAAGGCUACGAUAUGUAGGGGUCCUGAGAGUAAGAUCCCCCACAGGGGGACCGGGAAAGUGACGAGAGAGAUACGGGAGGGAGUAGUGAGGAAGAUAGGUGAAUGGUAGGAAGAAUGAAGCAGCGAAGCCGGGUGCAGGAAGAAUGCCUGAGGGAUUGUAAACUGCUUGUAUAUGGGAAGAAUAAGGUGUAAGUGUACAUGGAUGACGGUACCAGAUGAAUAAGCACCGGCUAACUCCGUG
rnacentral:rRNA from 1 species